GAUGAACGCUAGCUACAGGCUUAACACAUGCAAGUCGAGGGGAAACGACAGAGGAAGCUUGCUCCUUUGGGCGUCGACCGGCGCACGGGUGAGUAACGCGUAUCCAACCUUCCCGCAAGUAAGGGAUAACCCGUAGAAAUGCGGCCUAAUACCUUAUGUUUUCCUUAGAGGGCAUCUGAUGAGGAACAAAGAUCCGUCGCUUGCGGAUGGGGAUGCGUCUGAUUAGUUAGUCGGCGGGGUAACGGCCCACCGAGACGACGAUCAGUAGGGGUUCUGAGAGGAAAGUCCCCCACAUUGGAACUGAGACACGGUCCAAACUCCUACGGGAGGCAGCAGUGAGGAAUAUUGGUCAAUGGGCGGAAGCCUGAACCAGCCAAGUAGCGUGCAGGACGACGGCCCUAUGGGUUGUAAACUGCUUUUAUGCGGGGAUAAAGUGGGCCACGCGUGGCCUUUUGCAGGUACCGCAUGAAUAAGGACCGGCUAAUUCCGUG
rnacentral:rRNA from 1 species